GUUGUCAUAGAUAUGAAUGAGUAGAUAGGACACGCCCCUUUGAGCUGCGUGCUACAGCGAGGCUAAGCUAGUGGGGGCAAAGUUUCAGUGCAUUCUGUUGAUGUAGACGGCGUGAAAACGGAAACAACAAGUAUGCCGGCUCACUGUGCUGCAUACAGUUACACACUACGUCGUACGAUUGAGACAAGGAAACUUGGAAUGACUUUUCAUAGGUUUCCCAGAGACUAUGGGUUGAGGAGGAAGUGGAAGUUUGUCGGCUUAGACCUGGUGUCAUUCCAUCAGUGUUAAACUUCCCGGCUCAUCUUGGAAGAGUACGUGCCAGAAAGACCACGACCAAGCAGCCUUGAGAUCUUAGGCAGCGUCUCCCUCAGGUCCCUCUCUAUCUCCCUACACAUCCACCAACCACUGGAACACAUCUCCAAAGUUCUGCUGGACCAGCUCAGCUUCCCCUCAGAAGAAGUGCUGCCACCUGCCAGAUGAAGGAGCCUUUUGAGAGGCAGCUGGCAUCGUGAUUGGACUGUACUUUGGUCUGUUCCAAUCCAGCUUCAGCUCCAGAGACGGCAGGCGGGACGAGUCAACGGAGGCCUGGUGGACGAAGGCAUGCAGCUGAGUACAAUCCAGAAAACAACAGAGGAGGAGUGCAGCGACCCAGAGCCAGAACAAACAGUAUGUCUCUUAGAAAACAUCAUAGUAUAGCCUUUAGUAUGAAAAAACGCCAUCAUAUACAUCGUAUAUUGUACAAAUAACAAGUCAAAGGAAAGAGACAUACAUUGUAGAAUUGUAGUAAUUGUGGGCUGACUGAUUUACUGAUUAUCAGUAUUUUAUUUUUUACUGAUUUACGGUAAUAAAUACAUUUAAAAAUGG